AGCAGGAGGCAGAAAGAGGCGGCAUUGUGUCAUGUGUAACGGCCCAGGUUCUGAUUUCCUGUUCAGCAGCAGUGGGGGUGUGGCCUGGAACGUCCCAUCCUGCCCCUCUGUUUGACCUGCUCUGUCUCACCUGCUGCACGGAUUUAGUCAUGCACCUACCUUACCUGUAAAUGACGGCAAUAAUAGACGCCUUUUAACUUUCUCAUGAGUACUAGUUAAUAAAUACUAAAUCUUAGAACAA
rnacentral:lncRNA from 1 species